UUAUGGCUCAGGAUGAACGCUGGCGGCGUGCUUAACACAUGCAAGUCGAACGCUGAAGCUCCCAGCUUGCUGGGGGUGGAUGAGUGGCGAACGGGUGAGUAUCACGUGAGUAACCUGCCCUUGACUCUGGGAUAAGCCCGGGAAACUGGGUCUAAUACUGGAUAGGACUGGCCAUCGCAUGGUGGUUGGUUGAAAGCUUUUUGCGGUUUUUGGAUGGACUCGCGGCCUAUCAGCUUGUUGGUGGGGUAAUGGCCUACCAAGGCUUUGACGGGUAGCCGGCCUGAGAGGGUGACCGGCCACACUGGGACUGAGACACGGCCCAGACUCCUACGGGAGGCAGCAGUGGGGGAUAUUGCACAAUGGGCGCAAGCCUGAAUGCAGCGACGCCGCGUGAGGGAUGACGGCCUUCGGGUUGUAAACCUCUUUCAGUUGGGAAGAAGCCUUUCGGGGUGACGGUACCUUCAGAAGAAGCACCGGCUAACUACGUGCCAGCAGCGGC
rnacentral:rRNA from 1 species